rnacentral:rRNA from 1 species
GGGAGCAAGCGUUGUUCGGAUUUACUGGGCGUAAAGGGCGUGUAGGCGGCCACCGCAAGUCAGUUGUGAAAUCUCCGGGCUUAACCCGGAAAGGUCAACUGAUACUGCGGGGCUAGAGUGCAGAAGGGGCAACUGGAAUUCUCGGUGUAGCGGUGAAAUGCGUAGAUAUCGAGAGGAACACCUGCGGCGAAGGCGGGUUGCUGGGCUGACACUGACGCUGAACUGCGAAAGCUAGGGGAGCGAACGGG